rnacentral:tRNA from 1 species
GUUGUCGUGGCCGAGUGCUUAAGGCGAUGGACGAGAAAUCUUUGGGUUCUUCCCGCGCAGGUUCGAAUCCUGCCGGCAUCG